GAACGCAAAUUGCACUCUCGGGUAUCCCCGGGAGUACGCUUCUUUCAGUAUCGGUUCUAUCUAACCUCGCCUGCGUUCUUAGGAAUGUUCUGGCGGAGAUUGAGCGUCACACUUUGAACGAAGUUGUGUUGCUUGAAAAGAUAGCUGGAUGCUUCUCGUUCACCCGCUUGGUUCGCUCUUCUCCUCUUCGCGAGGAGCUGAGGCAAACGAAGUGACGUGGUUAAGCUCGCCUUGUGCGACUACCCCAUCGUCAAUCAUCUUCGUGCGCAUCAGUGUGAUCUUUGGGCAGGUCGAGUAGGAAGACUCCGCUUGGAUUAUAUCCAAAUACAAAAAAAAAAUCAGAUCUGAAAUGAAGUGAGAGGACCCGCUGAACUUAAG
rnacentral:misc_RNA from 1 species